rnacentral:rRNA from 1 species
UGGCUCAGGAUGAACGCUAGCGGCAGGCUUAAUACAUGCAAGUCGAGGGGUAACAGGUCUUCGGAUGCUGACGACCGGCGCACGGGUGCGUAACGCGUACACAACAUACCAUAUACUGGAGUAUAGCCUUGGGAAACUGAGAGUAAUCCUCCAUAGUAUUGUGAAUGGGCAUCCAUUUGCAAUUAAAGUUCCGGCGGUAUAUGAUUGGUGUGCGUUUGAUUAGGUAGUUGGCGGGGUAACGGCCCACCAAGCCUACGAUCAAUAGCUGGCGUGAGAGCGCGACCAGCCACACUGGAACUGAGACACGGUCCAGACUCCUACGGGAGGCAGCAGUAGGGAAUAUUGGACAAUGGGCGCAAGCCUGAUCCAGCCAUGCCGCGUGAUAGAUGAAGGCCCUCUGGGUUGUAAAUAUCUUUUAUCUGGGAAGAAACUCCUCUAUUCUUAGAGGCCUGACGGUACCAGAGGAAUAAGCACCGGCUAACUCCGUG